rnacentral:rRNA from 1 species
CCUACGGGGGGCAGCAGUGAGGAAUAUUGGUCAAUGGGCGCGAGCCUGAACCAGCCAAGUCGCGUGAGGGAAGACGGUCCUAUGGAUUGUAAACCUCUUUUGCCGGGGAGCAAAAGCCGCCACGCGUGGCGUUCCGAGAGUACCCGAAGAAAAAGCAUCGGCUAACUCCGUUCCAGCAGCCGCGGUAAUACGGAGGGUGCGAGCGUUAUCCGGAUUUAUUGGGGUUAAAGGGUGCGCAGGCGGAAGGUCAAGUCAGCGGGAAAAUUGAGAGGCUCAACCUCUUCGAGCCGUUGAAACUGGUUUUCUUGAGUGAGUGAGAAGUAUGCGGAAUGCGUGGUGUAGCGGUGAAAUGCAUAGAUAUCACGCAGAACUCCGAUUGCGAAGGCAGUAUACCGGCGCUCAACUGACGCUGAUGCACGAAAGUGCGGGUAUCGAACAGGAUUAGAUACCCCAGUAGUC